CUGACGGAGCCGAAGUACAGAAACCAUAUUUACAGGUACAUGUGACAGCGUUGCAGCUAUGAGUGGAAUUUUAAAGGGGAAGUUUGAAGAAGUCAACGGCUCCUCACCCUGCUCUUCAGUGCAGGAAUCAGAUGAUGAAGUUUUCAGCUGUGACAGUACUGAGAGUGUUGAUAGUGUCAAUCGUUCAGUUUUAAUGAUUUUACCAGAAAAAAUGAGGAAAUAUCAACAGACUGAAAAUAUGUUUUCAGAGGCAUAGAAUCUUCAGGAAAAUACUGGAGUUCCUGAGAUCUCAAGAUGGAGAGCCACUUAGCUUGCAGACUGCCAUCUCCCUAACGUAUCAGAACAAUGAACUUGGUUCCAAGAGUAUAGAACUCAGUGAAUGUAAAAUGGAUGAAUGUAUGAAUUAAUGCAUAAAUCAAUAAAUGAACCCAGAUGAAUAAUAUGCCAAAGUUGUUUCUGUAUAUCUCUGUGAUACAAAUAAACAUAUGCUCAUUCUAUU
rnacentral:lncRNA from 1 species